rnacentral:rRNA from 1 species
AUACGGAGGAUGCGAGCGUUAUCCGGAUUUAUUGGGUUUAAAGGGAGCGUAGGCGGGAGCUUAAGUCAGCGGUUAAAUGGUGCGGCUCAACCGUGCCCUGCCGUUGAAACUGGGUUUCUUGAGAGUGCAAGAGGCGGAUGGAAUUCAUGGUGUAGCGGUGAAAGGCUUAGAUAUCAUGAAGAACUCCGAUUGCGAAGGCAGGCCGCGGGGGCACGUCUGACGCUGAUGCUCGAAGGUGCGGGAAUCAAACAGGAUUAGAUACCCUGGUAGUCCGCACGGUAAACGAUGAUUACCCGCUGUCGGCGGCAGACAGUCGGCGGCCAAGCGAAAGCGAUAAGUAAUCCACCUGGGGAGUACGCCGGCAACGGGGAAACUCAAAUGAAUUGGCGGGG